UUUGGUUAAGUUAGAAAGGGCGCACGGUGGAUGCCUUGACACUAGGAGUCGAUGAAGGACGGGACUAACGCCGAUAUGCUUCGGGGAGCUGUAAGUAAGCUUUGAUCCGAAGAUUUCCGAAUGGGGAAACCCACCAUACGUAAUGGUAUGGUAUCCUUAUCUGAAUACAUAGGGUAAGGAAGACAGACCCAGGGAACUGAAACAUCUAAGUACCUGGAGGAAGAGAAAGCAAAUGCGAUUUCCUGAGUAGCGGCGAGCGAAACGGAACAUAGCCCAAACCAAGAGGCUUGCCUCUUGGGGUUGUAGGACAUUCUAUACGGAGUUACAAAGGAACGAGGUAGACGAAGCGACCUGGAAAGGUCCGUCGUAGAGGGUAACAACCCCGUAGUCGAAACUUCGUUCUCUCUUGAAUGUAUCCUGAGUACGGCGGAACACGUGAAAUUCCGUCGGAAUCUGGGAGGACCAUCUCCCAAGGCUAAAUACUCCCUAGUGAUCGAUAGUGAACCAGUACCGUGAGGGAAAGGUGAAAAGCACCCCGGAAGGGGAGUGAAAGAGAUCCUGAAACCGUGUGCCUACAAAUAGUCAGAGCCCGUUAAUGGGUGAUGGCGUGCCUUUUGUAGAAUGAACCGGCGAGUUACGAUCCCGUGCGAGGUUAAGCUGAAGAGGCGGAGCCGCAGCGAAAGCGAGUCUGAAUAGGGCGUUUAGUACGUGGUCGUAGACCCGAAACCAGGUGAUCUACCCAUGUCCAGGGUGAAGUUCAGGUAACACUGAAUGGAGGCCCGAACCCACGCACGUUGAAAAGUGCGGGGAUGAGGUGUGGGUAGCGGAGA
rnacentral:rRNA from 1 species